rnacentral:rRNA from 1 species
CCUACGGGAGGCAGCAGUGGGGAAUAUUGGACAAUGGGCGCAAGCCUGAUCCAGCAAUGCCGCGUGAGUGAUGAAGGCCUUAGGGUCGUAAAGCUCUUUUACCAGGGAUGAUAAUGACAGUACCUGGAGAAUAAGCUCCGGCUAACUCCGUGCCAGCAGCCGCGGUAAUACGGAGGGAGCUAGCGUUGUUCGGAAUUACUGGGCGUAAAGCGUACGUAGGCGGUUAUUCAAGUCAGAGGUGAAAGCCCGGGGCUCAACCCCGGAACGGCCUUUGAAACUAGGUAGCUAGAAUCUUGGAGAGGUCAGUGGAAUUCCGAGUGUAGAGGUGAAAUUCGUAGAUAUUCGGAAGAACACCAGUGGCGAAGGCGACUGACUGGACAAGUAUUGACGCUGAGGUACGAAAGCGUGGGGAGCAAACAGGAUUAGAUACCCUGGUAGUCCACGCCGUAAACGAUGAUAACUAGCUGUCCGGGCACUUGGUGCCUGGGUGGCGCAGCUACGACAUUAAGUUAUACCGUCCGUCGGGUAGGUACGGUCGCGAAGAAUUAAACUAACAAAGAAGUAGACGGCGUGAGACGUGCCGAACGACGACGACGAGGGAGGUAGG